UUUGCACUUAUUGCCCUCUCUGGUGUCUCCUUCAAGACAGGAAACUGUCGAUUUCUCCUCAGAAGAUUUCACUGUGGAAAGCGGCGAUGACAAGAACAAGCGGCGUCCGGUCACCACGCACCCAGUCAACGGGCGCCGGAGCCGCAACCUGAAGGGCUCACGUCAACAUGCGUCAAGCAGGCAGGCUGGUCCCCGCUCUCCUGAGUCCGAGGGGAACACGGGACAGCCCCCCAAAGGGAGGCGUCGCGGGAAGGGGGCGCUGAGAGCCCAGCGCCGCCAACAGGGACGCUCGCCCGUGGACCGCGGACGGGCUCUGCACCGCGCGGGCUCCGGCGCGGGAAGGCGUUUUGACAGGAGUCAACAAUGAGGCGGCGCCACACCUUCCGCCAGAAUGAGGUCCCUCCGACUCCUCCUGUCAGACCCGGAGGAGCAAGGCCCCCGGCUGAAACUUGGCUGAGGGUUAGUCGGAAGCUUCAUUCAGUAAAGUCUUGAAUGUGAAGUUGGCUCGUAUUCCCUCCGAGCGUGGAGCCAGUGGUUGCGUCCAGAAGGGGGAACCUUGGGCGCCAAAGCCGAGUAUGGGAGUCGGAGAACCAAUAGCUGUGCGGGCCGGUGGUCACGUGGUCUCGGGCUGUUUAAAAAUGCGGACCGGAGCGGGCUGCGUCGUCCCUGGACCCACAGGAUGCGGCUGGUCUCUGGUACAGCGUGCGGAAUCCUUGCUUCUCUCUCUCUCUGUCUCUCUCUCUGUCUCUCUCUCUCUCUCUCUCUCUCUCUCUCUCUCUCUCUCUCUCUCUCCUCAGCAAACUGAAACUCUUUCACAUUUAAGAUAGAAACGUAAUGUGAUACAAUCACUUUACUUUCUUAUAAAACUAAAUAUGCAUCUAUCCUAUGAUCUAAGCCUAAGAUAAACAUACGAGGACAUACUUGUCCUCAAUGAUUUUUAUUUACAAUGGUCCCAAACUGGAAACAACACAAAUACCUAUCAACUGAUGACUCAAUCAAUAAAUUGAGGUAUAUCUUUUUAUUGACAAUAAAAAGAAAUGAACUACUGAUAGAUGCAAUGACAUAGAUGAAUCUCAAAAAUGAAGUUCUAGGACAAGUGAAACAGAUUUAUGAUGGAAAAAAAUCAGAAAAGUGAUUGCUUCGGGGAGGUUAGGAGGGAACUGGGAAGGAACACAAAGGAACUUUCUUUCUCUUUAUAGGGAUUUGUCUAUUAAAAAAAUCUUCAUGUUAAUAAAUAUGGUAUUCAUUCAAAGUGAAGAAACACUACCUUUUACUUCGAAUUUGUUGUUUAGUUAUGAUUGCAGAACACCAAAAGUUAUUAGCAUAGAAGCGAUUCUCUGUAUUAACCACCUAUAGUAUGCACAUUCAAUGAACAACACACAGAUUAUGCAAUUAUGUUAUUUUUCCCCUGUUAUGUUCUGAUUAUAUUUAUUGGAAUGUAAUUUUGCCUGUUGUUCUGAUUAUAUUUAUUGGAAUGUAAUUUUGCCUGUUGAAUCUGAUAAUAAAAAUUAGAUUUCUGUUUUG